rnacentral:lncRNA from 1 species
GCCCAAUAGGAAACACUGGUUUCUUGCCGACGAUGGACGUCUUUCCGACGUGGUUGACGAUGGGCCGCAGAUAUAUAUAUAUAUUUUUUUAAUAUUCAGCCCUUCCGUGUGAAGCGUCAUCGCUACACUUACACCAUUUACUCCAGUAACGCCGGACGAGACAAACCUGAGAGUGAGUAAGUGUCCGGCGAAAAGUACAUCACCGCAAGACACCUUGGCUCUGAGCGCUAUCUCGGGU